rnacentral:rRNA from 1 species
GACGAACGCUGGCGGCGUGCUUAACACAUGCAAGUCGAACGGUGAAGGGACCGGUUUUUGCUGGUUCUGGAUGAGUGGCGAACGGGUGAGUAACACGUGAGUAACCUGCCCCCUUCUUCUGGAUAACCGCAUGAACGUGUGGCUAAUACGGGAUAUUCUGCGCCUGCUGCAUGGUGGGUUUGGGGACGAUAUUGUUUCGGUGGGUGAUGGGCUCGCGGCCUAUCAGCUUGUUGGUGGGGUGAUGGCCUACCAAGGCGGUGACGGGUAGCCGGCCUGAGAGGGUGGACGGUCACACUGGGACUGAGACACGGCCCAGACUCCGACGGGAGGCAGCAGUGGGGAAUAUUGCACAAUGGGCGCAAGCCUGAUGCAGCGACGCCGCGUGAGGGAUGGAGGCCUUCGGGUUGUAAACCUCUUUCGCCAGUGAAGCAGGCCUGUCCCUUUUGUGGGUGGGUUGACGGUAGCUGGAUAAGAAGCGCCGGCUAACUACGUG